UAGGAAAUAGGAUGAAUGGAGGUUGG
rnacentral:piRNA from 1 species